AGCAGUCGCCACGGUAAUACGAAGGGGGCUAGCGUUGUUCGGAAUUACUGGGCGUAAAGCGCACGUAGGCGGACAUUUAAGUCAGGGGUGAAAUCCCGGGGCUCAACCCCGGAACUGCCUUUGAUACUGGGUGUCUAGAGUAUGGAAGAGGUGAGUGGAAUUCCGAGUGUAGAGGUGAAAUUCGUAGAUAUUCGGAGGAACACCAGUGGCGAAGGCGGCUCACUGGUCCAUUACUGACGCUGAGGUGCGAAAGCGUGGGGAGCAAACAGGAUUAGAUACCCCCGUAGUCCCUGUCUCUUAUAC
rnacentral:rRNA from 1 species